UACGGAGGGGGCUAGCGUUGUUCGGAAUUACUGGGCGUAAAGCGCACGUAGGCGGCUUUGCAAGUCAGAGGUGAAAGCCCGGGGCUCAACCCCGGAAUUGCCUUUGAGACUGCAUCGCUAGAAUUGUGGAGAGGUAAGUGGAAUUCCGAGUGUAGAGGUGAAAUUCGUAGAUAUUCGGAAGAACACCAGUGGCGAAGGCGACUUACUGGACACAUAUUGACGCUGAGGUGCGAAAGCAUGGGGAGCAAACAGG
rnacentral:rRNA from 1 species